UACGGAGGGCCUUAGCGUUACUCGGAAUCACUGGGCGUAAAGAGCGUGUAGGCGGAUAGAUAAGUCAGGAGUGAAAUCCUAUGGCUCAACCAUAGAACUGCUCUUGAAACUGUCUAUCUAGAAUAUGGGAGAGGUAGAUGGAAUUUCUGGUGUAGGGGUAAAAUCCGUAGAGAUCAGAAGGAAUACCGAUUGCGAAGGCGAUCUACUGGAACAUUAUUGACGCUGAGACGCGAAAGCGUGGGGAGCAAACAGGAUUAGAUACCCUGGUAGUCCACGCCCUAAACGAUGUACACUAGUUGUUGUGAGGCUCGACCUUGCAGUAAUGCAGUUAACACAUUAAGUGUACCGCCUGGGGAGUACGGUCGCAAGAUUAAAACUCAAAGGAAUAGACGGGGACCCGCACAAGCGGUGGAGCAUGUGGUUUAAUUCGACGAUACACGAAGAACCUUACCUGGUCUUGACAUACUAAGAAGCUUUAAGAGAUUAGAGUGUGCUAGCUUGCUAGAACUUAGAUACAGGUGCUGCACGGCUGUCGUCAGCUCGUGUCGUGAGAUGUUGGGUUAAGUCCCGCAACGAGCGCAACCCUCGUCGUUAGUUGCUAACAGUUCGGCUGAGAACUCUAACGAGACUGCCUACGCAAGUAGGAGGAAGGUGAGGACGACGUCAAGUCAUCAUGGCCCUUACGACCAGGGCUACACACGUGCUACAAUGGGGUAUACAAAGAGCAGCAAUACAGUGAUGUGGAGCAAAUCUCAAAAAUGCCUCCCAGUUCGGAUUGUAGUCUGCAACUCGACUACAUGAAGUUGGAAUCGCUAGUAAUCGUAGAUCAGCUAUGCUACGGUGAAUACGUUCCCGGGUCU
rnacentral:rRNA from 1 species